UCUAUUAAAUGGCGGUUCGCCGCGUCUAAAAUGCAAAUCCGAGCAGGACAAUCACCGCCAAAAAAAAAACGUGCGGAAAAUCUUUUCAGCGCUGGAGAAUAGUUGGUAGUUUGGUAGUUUUAUCAAAAUUUCACAAAGUCCAAUUUGAAUGUGACAUUCAUUGGUUUGUGCUGGGAGUGAAAGAAGGUCGGAGAAGAAAGAUAUCUCCGAUCAGAGAGAUGAUAACUCGGUCUAAACUCGUUGAGCAACUCAGAGACUAUCAGAUCCGAUCCCAGUAUAAGUGGCCCGCCCUCACUUUCUUUUCCCCCAAACCCCACUUCACUUCCCGGGCUGAUGUUGUCGUGGCUAUCUUUUGGGCCUUAUUGUUCAUCAUGCUUGUGGUAUCAUCCUAUGUGACAUUCUACCAAAGGCACGUUGGACUUUCUUUUGUGAUUAUAUGCUUUGGCAUCUUUCUUCCUAUACGCCUGAGAAUAUCCAGGCGGGCACUGAUGAAGAAAAGGGAGAGGAGAUUGUUGUUACCACUGUCCAUGUAACAUUCUACAACAUCAAAUUUGCAGCCCUACAAUUUGGGCUUCAGAGGAUUUACUGCUGACAUUCAAUUCAUUUGGAUUAUGUUUGAUGUUUAUGGAGACUGGAGUACUAAUAUUGGUUAACGACUGAUCAAGAUGGAUGGUAAAAUUCUUUCAUCCUUUUGCAUGGAAAACACAGAAUGAGAAUUUUCCAAGCACUCUAUUUAUUCACAAGUAAAUGCAGUACAUUUAUGUCAAAACCCAACUUACUGUUGGUUUUAACUCUCAUUGGCUUGUAAUUAUGUCCAGGAACUUAUCUUAAAUGUACUAAAGAUUGAGUUAGAGAUUUUUCAGCCAGGUUAAAACAAAAGAGGCAAUCACUAGCUUGCCAGUUGAGGGUAAAAUUUAGGACUUGUAAAACAAGAUAAAUAUUCAAUGACACGUGAGUUAUAGCAGUCUGA